rnacentral:lncRNA from 1 species
AACACAGAGAGAGCAAGCUCGGGAGAAUUUUCGAAGAGGCUUGUCUUCAAGAUAUGGAAGGAAGAGAGAGAUGACAGCCUGCAAGCUUUGUAUGCCAGUGCCUGGCAGGGCAGGGAGGGGGUGGGGGAGUGAUGCGAGGGAAGCCAAGUGGAUUCUCAGAAAAAGGGGGGAAGCCAUCAAAGAGCUAAAGGUGAUUAGAGGGGGAUAUCGAUUCCUUACUCUGCCAGAGGUUUAAGCAGGCAUGAGAGGAAUCUGUACCAUGGCUGGCAGAAAGAGACCCAUUGCCUCUUGUAACCAGACACUGGGGCUUUCCAGGAGCCCAGGGAGAGAGCCGAGAAGAAAGGGGGCAGUGUGGUCUAGGAAAAUUCAACUUGUCGCUGAUUUGUGCCUGAUGCUUGCUGUCCGUCAGCAGCCUCCCUUACAAGCCUUUUUUCCUCUCUCUCCUUUUUUCUCCCCUUGCCUUCUUCUUCAGUGAAGCCUAGGGGAGCCAGUAAAGAUUAAAUGUGCUUUCUCAAAGGCAGCCACUUCAUGCUGCUAUGUCGAAAGGGCUAUUAUUAUUAUUAAUAUGAGAGAGAGAGAGAAAGAGAGAGAGGGAGAGAGACUAGGUAUGGUGAUGACGGUCUAGCUUUUUGGAGAGCAAAAGGGAGAGAAAAAAGGAGAGACCAUGAGCUGAACCAAGGACUGUGCAUGAGCUGAACCUACAGAGCUGGUCCUAUAGCCCCCUUUCUCAGUAAUGUCUCCCCAGUGAAAGGAAAAAGACUGCAGAGGCUUCAGACUGACGGACGCUCAUGCCAACUGUGAAGUUGAAACAAAGCAAGUGACCAGCUGAAGAGGCCCCUCCUGCCCAGCAGCCACCCACAUGCAGUUGCAGCCAGUAGUAAUCUUUGCAAGAAGCAGAGAAACCCAGAACACGUAUGAGUCAAAACCAUCCCCUUCCUUGUGUGUGUAUCCCUGUCUCGUUCAAAUUGGUGUGCCUUCCAUUUGGAUCCUGGUAUGAAUAUGCUUGUUACUGUGUAAAGGCAACUUCGCCCAAAUGUGUUAAUGUAUGAAGAGACUGAAUUUUUUUGUGGGGGGGGGAGAGUUAUUUUUAUCAAAACACAGUGUUCGUUAUUGACAGUGAUCUAGAAAAUGAAAAGCAGUUGGAAAAGACAGCAAAGCAGUCACAGGCGAUCCACAGAGAUGCUCACACCACCACACAGAAACACCACAUCAUGCUCCCAGACUCUGAGCAGGGAGCGAGACUCUGUGACAUACUGUGGCUGCCGCCAAGGGUCAACAGCAAGCCAGACACAGGUGCAGAAGCUACCUCAAGUGUAGUGAUAAACUGAGUCAGGAGACAAUAAGAACAGCAACGACACAAAAGACAAUGUCCUUGGAGGGGGCCAAGUGGGUUUGCUUAAGGAAGGAUGCUCCCUUAAAGAGAGAAUAGGAAAUCAACCUUUAAAGGAUGUAAAAACAAAACUAGAUAAAUGGGAAGAUAGGAGAACAUCGAGUCCUUAAUGCAAACAUAAGGGUAAGCAAUGGAUGGGCAGAGGAAAUCCACAUGGUGAGUCUUGGAGACUACACAUAUCUCAUCUUGAUUUUGCCUGACACUUGGAACCGCUGUCUGUGUGUCUAGUAGAGAUGCUGCACACAGGCACCUCCCCUCCCCCACCCCAAAUGUCCCCUAAACUGAACUAGAACUAAAGUUCCAGUUCUGUGUCACUACAAAGAUUGGUUGGUGAUCCCUGAAUAGAAUUCAUGAUUCUUCUGUUCGUGAUUGCUUCUUACCAAAUUUAUUCCAUACAGGAAAUGUUUAGCAUAUUAAAUCUCAUGGUUGCUAUGAAAAUGACACAUUAUCCACCUUUCACAGGUAAAGAAACUGAUUUUGGUGAGGCUGAGUGCCUAGCCAAGGUGCUAUGUGCAGCUAUGCAUAUUCAAGGUUUUGGUCAUGAAACUCAGUCCCUAGUCUGACUUUUGUGAUGAGUUCCAACACAGUUGUCACCUUUACCAUGGCCCUUAAUGCCUGUCUACAGAAAGACAUGGCUUUUCUGCUGACUUACAGCCACAGUAUUUCCUACUUUCAUGCUGAAUUAUACCAGAAUGAUAAAACGUAUUUUCAUGGAAGAAAAUUGAGAAUUUAGUGAAAUACACUGCCUGCCAGCAGUUUGUAUGUUUCUUCUUCAUUUUGGUCUGAAUCUUUUGAUUUAGUUCUGCAUGAAAUCUCAAAGUUUUAAGAUCAGUAAGGGAAAGGCCUUAAGUUACCUGUUAUUGUACUUUUUGACAGAAGAUGUAAAUUGACAACCUGUAAUCAGAGUGACUUUACAAACAAACAAACAACAAAAAGACACCCCCACCCCACAAAACUCAAAUCAAACCAACCAACCAAACAACAAAAUAAACAAAACCGCCCACUUAAUUGGAAAUGUCCCAACAAAGACCAGAAACUAAGUCCUCAGUUAUCUUUCAAUGACUUUUAAAUUAUUGCACCCUGUCCUAAAGAAACAUGAACUUGUAUUUGACUAAAGGCACUAAUGUUGCAUAGAUUGGAUCUCCUAAAAUCUAGUUUCUUCCUUCCUUGGUACUCAUGUCAAUGUUAAAUACAGCUAUGAACUAGUGUAUUUAUGUCAAGAAGUUGACAAUGAUCUGUCCCCAAAGAACAGAGAAUAGCCAAUGUUGUCUAUAUACUCCUUCUUUAAUCCAACCAUGAAAUCAUUAGUUCACUUGCACCAAUCCAAUCCAUUGUGCAUCUUCUCAACCAACCUGACCUAUGGCAAUCAUUUGCAAGUGCUAUAAAUGUUUAUCUAUGACUGUUCCAGAAAUAGCUAAGUAUUAACAAAUACCACUAGUCAUUUUGUGAUGUAAUCUUCAUUUAUCUGUGUAACUAAUUCAAGAAGACUUUGGCCAUAAAAACCUAGAACUAAAAAUCCCAUUCUUGGCUUUCAGCCACUCUACAUUUGAAUGACAUUUCACAGUGAUUAAUAAAUUGUCCAUAUAAAUAACAUAGAUGUCCAGAUUGUGAUUUUUGUCUUGAAUGAGACCAUUAAACUGGGUAGGCUAAGGGACAGAUGUCUAACUUUUUGAGGUACCUGGAUAUUUAACUGAUGUAAUUUUCUACUUAGCUGUUUGACAUUGUCGUAUGUAGUCCUGGUCAUGGCUUUGACUGUUCUGUUUUUUCAAAAUGCUUGUUGGCUCUGUCUUACACUGUUCUCACUGAUCUCAUAAAUAAACAGGUUUGUUGUUAAAGAGUAGCCCAAGCACAAAGUGUGAUGUUGUUGACAUUUUACAAGACUUUCCUUGGUCCCUGACUCCCAAUAAAGGAAAUGUUGCAUUAACUGU